rnacentral:rRNA from 1 species
UACGAAGGGGACUAGCGUUGUUCGGAUUUACUGGCGUAAGCGCGACGUAGGCGGAUCGCUAAGUCAGGGGUGAAAUCCCAAGGGCUCAACCUUGGAACUGCCUUUGAUACUUGACGAUCUGGAGAUCGGGAGAGGUGAGUGGAAUUCCGAGUGUAGAGGUGAAAUUCGUAGAUAUUCGGAGGAACACCAGAAGCGAAGGCGGCUCACUGGACCGGUAUUGGACGCUGAUGUGCGAA